GAUGAAGAACGUAGCGAAAUGCGAUAAGUAAUGUGAAUUGCAGAAUUCAGUGAAUCAUCGAAUCUUUGAACGCACCUUGCACCCUUUGGUAUUCCGAAGGGUAUGCUCGUUUGAGUGUCAUUGUACUCUCACACUUCCGAUCGUUUGGAUCGGGAGCGGUGGACUUGGGUGUUGCUGCUUUACUGUGGCUCACCUUAAAUGCAUUAGUGCACCUUUCGGUUGGACAUAGUACGGCGUGAUAAGUGUCUUCGCCGGCACCUCACAGAGGGUGGCUGAUCGGGAGCUCUGUGCUUCAAACCGUCCUCGGACAACAGCUCACAACUUGACCUCAAAUCGAGUAGGACUACCCGCUGAACUUAAGCAUAUCAAUAAGCGGAGGA
rnacentral:misc_RNA from 1 species